UAGCACUUUUAAGAUCGGUCAUAAAAUAACCAAUCUUAAAAGUACUUUUAAGAUCGGUUAUUUUAUGACCGAUCUUAAAAAAGCCA
rnacentral:miRNA from 1 species